AUCACCACUUACUCAUACAACAAGUAGCAAAAUUCAUAUUGUACUGCUCUUAAAGUCAGAGUGACUGGACUCUAGGGCUUGGAGCAACCACUUUUCUGUGCAGCUAUGAAGAAAUCAGGGGUCCAUUCCAACUAAAAACUCGUGAAGAACUCAAAGAAAAAAUUUACACCUCCCCCCUUUUCAGGUAUGUCCAAAGGAAGAGAUGAAUUAAAGCCCCCCAAGGAGAUAAUACUCAGGUAAACUACCUUAACUUCAUUCAUAACCUUGGAUUUUGUCCUGUCUGUGUGUGGGUUUCCAUUUAUUGUCUGAGCCAGAUUGUUUUCUCCAGCUUUAGUAACAGCUGAAAGCUCUUCUUCUUUUUUUUUUCUUGCAAUAACUGGCUUCUUUAAUUUUUUUUUUUUGUACUGGGGAUCGAACUCAGGACUUUGUGCUUGUGAGGCAGACGCGGUGCCACUGAGCUAAAUUCCUGGCCCUGAAAGCCCUUCUUGAAUGCAACAUUCCACAUCUAUCCUAGGCCCAAAGGACAUGGGAGCUACUUUGCAAUCUAGUCCUCUUAUUGACCUUCUAAUGUGAAGAAUCAAUAACAAUUAGGAAUGAACAACAUUCUGUUCUUGGCCAUGUGGAAGACAUUGAAUCACUGCUAGCCAAGUCCUGGAACAAUCCCCACUAUUUCUGCAACAUUUGGUGCGUUGGCCAGGAAUCAGGAAUAAAAUAGCCCUUUUGGGCAUCCACCCGAACCCCACCGGAGGGAGCCGGUCUCUGUCUCCUCAAGAGGAAAGGUGCACCCUUGGGACUAAUUUCCUAGGCUCCCCAAAAGGACACAGAGAUCCGCUCACCAUUGGAGGUUUGUCCAAACCCGAGAAGGAGACUACAGAAGGAAGACUGCUGCUCUUGGUGUCUCGUCUGUCUCUUUCCUUUGCUGGAAAACCUAAUGUAUUUUCGGAUAUUAUUUUCCUGAAGAAACACAGAAUGAAGACAGGAGAUAAAACUAUAGAGAUAUAUAUUGAAAAGACUAUUUAUCUCUCUCUCUAUAUAUAUUUUUGGUACUGGGGAUGGAACUCAGGACCGUGCAGGUGUGGUGCUGCCGAGCUAAAUCCCUGGCCCAAUAGUCUUUUAAAUAUUAAGAAGGUGGAGACAGGCAGGUCUGCCGAUGCCCUACCGAGGUCCUGAGUCACACAGAACAGGCCAAAUCACCCCACUGCAGACAGGCAGCCACCUGGAUCCACACUACAAAGACGCAGAGGACGCCAGACCACCAGACCAUGGUACUGAGUCCCGCUGCUCCCGGCCCAGAAGUAGGAGCUUCUGAGCUGCCGUCCCACUGCUCCUGGUCCAGAGGAAGGGGCUUGCCAGUCACCAUCCCUCCCACUGCACCCAGCCCAGAGGAAAGGGCUUUUGGGUCACCUUCUGUCCUGUUGCUCCUGGCCCAGAGGAAGGGGCUUCUGGGCCACCAUCACUCCCACCACUCCCGGCCCAGAGGUAGGGGCUUCUGAGCCGCCAUCCUACUGCUCCUGGUUCAGAGGAAGGGGCAUCCCGGCCACUAUGCCUCCCGCUGCUCCCAGCCUACAGGAAAGGGCUUUUGGGUCACAAUCCCUACUGCUGCUCCUGGCCCCUGUCUCACCUCUCCCAGCUCAGAGGAGGUAAUCCGUGCAGGCACAAGCAGCCCCCCGCCCCAGUCGAAAUGAGAAAAUACAUAAAUAAGUCUCAAAACCAGACUUCCAGAUCACCUGCAGCAACCCCAAAGGGAAAUGAGAUGGAACACUCUGAUACUCAACCACCUGGACCCA
rnacentral:lncRNA from 1 species